rnacentral:rRNA from 1 species
UACGUAGGGCGCAAGCGUUGUCCGGAAUUAUUGGGCGUAAAGAGCUCGUAGGCGGCUUGUCACGUCGGGGUGUGAAAGCCCGGGGCUUAACCCCGGGUCUGCAUUCGAUACGGGCUAGCUAGAGUGUGGUAGGGGAGAUCGGAAUUCCUGGUGUAGCGGUGAAAUGCGCAGAUAUCAGGAGGAACACCGGUGGCGAAGGCGGAUCUCUGGGCCAUUACUGACGCUGAGGAGCGAAAGCGUGGGGAGCGAACAGG